CAGCACCUCAAGUGGUCAGGAUGAUUAUUGGGCCUAAAGCAUCCGUAGCCGGCGCUGUAAGUUUUCGGUUAAAUCUGUACGCUCAACGUACAGGCUGCCGGGAAUACUGCAGCGCUAGGGAGUGGGAGAGGUAGACGGUACUCGGUAGGAAGGGGUAAAAUCCUUUGAUCUAUUGAUGACCACCUGUGGCGAAGGCGGUCUACCAGAACACGUCCGACGGUGAGGGACGAAGCCCUGGGGCACAAACCGGAUUAGAUACCCGCGUAGUCC
rnacentral:rRNA from 1 species